UACGUAGGGUGCGAGCGUUGUCCGGAAUUAUUGGGCGUAAAGGGCUCGUAGGCGGUUUGUCGCGUCGGGAGUGAAAACACCGGGCUUAACUCGGUGCUUGCUUUCGAUACGGGCAGACUAGAGGCAUGCAGGGGAGAACGGAAUUCCUGGUGUAGCGGUGAAAUGCGCAGAUAUCAGGAGGAACACCGGUGGCGAAGGCGGCACUCUGGGCCGGUACUGACGCUGAGGAGCGAAAGCGUGGGGAGCGAACAGG
rnacentral:rRNA from 1 species